rnacentral:rRNA from 1 species
CCCUUAGAUGUCCGGGGCCGCGCGCGCGCUACACUGAAGGAAUCAGCGUGGCUUUCUCCCUGACCCGAAAGGGUUGGGAAACCCGUUGAAUCUCCUUCGUGAUAGGGAUUGGGGCUUGAAAUUGUUCCCCAUGAACGAGGAAUUCCCAGUAAGCGCGAGUCAUAAGCUCGCGUUGAAUACGUCCCUGCCCUUUGUACACACCGCCCGUCGCUCCUACCGAUGAAUCGUCCGGUGAAGUUCACAUAGUGGCGGUUCGUGGAGUUGCUCGCGAAGUGAAAUGGACCUCACGAUUUAGAGGAAGGAGAAGUCGUAACA